rnacentral:rRNA from 1 species
GACGAACGCUGGCGGCGAGCCUAAUACAUGCAAGUUGAGCGCUGAAGGUUGGUACUUGUACCCACUGGAUGAGCAGCGAACGGGUGAGUAACGCGUGGGGAAUCUGCCUUUGAGCGGGGGACAACAUUUGGAAACGAAUGCUAAUACCGCAUAAAAACUUUAAACACAAGUUUUAAGUUUGAAAGAUGCAAUUGCAUCACUCAAAGAUGAUCCCGCGUUGUAUUAGCUAGUUGGUGAGGUAAAGGCUCACCAAGGCGAUGAUACAUAGCCGACCUGAGAGGGUGAUCGGCCACAUUGGGACUGAGACACGGCCCAAACUCCUACGGGAGGCAGCAGUAGGGAAUCUUCGGCAAUGGACGAAAGUCUGACCGAGCAACGCCGCGUGAGUGAAGAAGGGUUUCGGAUCGUAAAACUCUGUUGGUAGAGAAGAACGUUGGUGAGAGUGGAAAGCUCAUCAAGUGACGGUAACUACCCAGAAAGGGACGGCUAACUACGUG